AGCCGCCGGGCCACGUCGCGGCCGCCACGGGAGAGGACGCGGCCGACGGGCCUCUGGCUUGGUACUGUCACAGGAAGGGAUGUUGCAAUAUUCCCACCGGGCAGCUGGGUUGGUGGUGUAACACCAUGGCCUCUUCUCACCAUCAGGAUUUCUGCAGUAGUUUUCAUCUAGGCCCCUAAAACAGAAAACUUGACUGAUCAAAGUCUCUCAUGGAAAUCUAUUAAAGGUUAUGAACAAAAAGAUUGCUGCCUGGUUGACAGUUGUAUUUACUGGUAGGUACCUGCUGCUCUCAUUUACUGAUGCCAUCUGUUACAAGAAUAAUUGCAAUUCACUGGUGUUUUGGAUGUGCUACACCAGACACCUUCUUGACUGACAGAAGAAUUAAGAGUGUGGAGUACUUUGAGGUCAAGAGUAGCACAGCAGAAAGAAUCUAGGAUGCAAUAAUCUAGCCCCAAGCAAAUAUCGUAACUGUACGGUUCGUACUCCACAUGGUUUCAU